rnacentral:rRNA from 1 species
AACGAACGCUGGCGGCGUGCUUAACACAUGCAAGUCGAACGGUAAGGCCCUUCGGGGUACACGAGUGGCGAACGGGUGAGUAACACGUGGGUGAUCUGCCCUGCACUUCGGGAUAAGCCUGGGAAACUGGGUCUGAUACCGGAUAGGACCACUGCCUGCAUGGGUGGUGGUGGAAAGCUUUUGCGGUGUGGGAUGGGCCCGCGGCCUAUCAGCUUGUUGGGGGGGUGCUGGCCUACCAAGGCGACGACGGGUAGCCGGCCUGAGAGGGUGACCGGCCACACUGGGACUGAGAUGCGGCCCAGACUCCUACGGGAGGCAGCAGUGGGGAAUAUUGCACAAUGGGCGCAAGCCUGAUGCAGCGACGCCGCGUGAGGGAUGACGGCCUUCGGGUUGUAAACCUCUUUCAGCACCGACGAAGCGCAAGUGACGGUAGGUGCAGAAGAAGGACCGGCCAACUACGUGCCAGCAGCCGCGGUAA